AUGCCGUCCGGGUCUACGCAGUUCCGGUACACACAGACGCCGUCCAAGGUGCUGCACCUACGGAACAUGCCGUGGGAGAGCACUGAGGAGGAGCUCGUCGAGCUCUGCAAACCAUUCGGCAGGGUUGUGAACACCAUGUGCAACGUCGGAGCCAACCGCAACCAGGCCUUCGUGGAGUUCGCAGAUCAAAACCAGGCAAUUUCAAUGGUUUCAUAUUAUGCUUCAUCUUCAGAACCUGCCCAAGUUCGUGGUAAAACUGUAUAUAUCCAGUAUUCAAAUAGGCAAGAAAUUACAAACAAUAAAGGCACUGGUGAUUCUUCUGGCAAUGUCCUGCUUGUCACCUUUGAAGGUGUCCAGCCUAAUGAUGUUAGCAUAGAUGUUAUCCAUUUGGUAUUUUCUGCUUUUGGGUUUGUUCACAAGAUAGCAACGUUUGAGAAAGCCGCUGGUUUCCAGGCACUUAUCCAAUAUACUGAUGCUCCAACUGCUCUAGAGGCAAAAAAUUCGUUAGACGGAAGAAGCAUACCGAGGUAUCUACUGGCUGAACACGUCAGCAUUUGUCACCUGCGCAUAACAUUUUCUGCGCACAAAGAUUUGAAUAUUAAAUUUCAAUCACAUCGCAGCAGGGAUUACACAAAUCCUUAUCUUCCUGUUAAUCCAACUGCAAUCGAGGGAAUCACACAGCCCAUAUUAGGCUCUGAUGGGAAGAUUAAGGAGCCAGAGAGCAAUGUACUUUUAGCAUCAAUCGAGAACAUGCAGUAUGCUGUGGGAGUGGAUGUUCUACACACUGUGUUCUCUUCUUUUGGUGCUGUCCGAAAGAUUGCAAUGUUCGAGAAGAAUGGUGGAAUGCAGGCUCUAAUUCAGUAUCCAGAAGUACUGCUAGAGCUAACAGAGUCCGUCUUCGCAGAUAUAACAACAGCAGGAGUUGCUAAACAAGCUCUGGAGGGGCAUUGCAUAUAUGAUGGUGGUUACUGUAAGCUUCAUCUGUCAUACUCUCGUCAUACUGAUCUGAAUGUGAAGGCACAUGACGAGAGAAGCAGAGACUACACCGUCUCGGAUCCUAGUGCUCAGGUACAAGCUGCAGGUCAAGCCCCUGGUCUAAGCACUCCUGGAGCAGCAUGGCAAAGCACCACGCCUGCUGCUUUUUAUGGAAGCUCAGCAGGACCGACCUCUAUCGGACAAGCGCCAGCCUGGAAUCCUAACAUGCAGCGAGGGGCAUUUGCACCUGCAUCAACCUCGUACCCUACCCAAUUAUUGAUGGCAAACCCAGGCCCGCACUUUCCAGCAGUCGGAUCAAGCUCUGGUGCUCCUCCGAUGUUGUACCAAGCUUCGCAGCAGAUGGCACAUUAUGGCACAGCCCCUGCUGCUCUGCCUCAUGCAGCCUUGUCUGGCGAACCGAUGUACUUCCCAAAAUGA
rnacentral:rRNA from 1 species